AAGCUGUUUUCUCAACUCAAGCCUGGAUCUGACUGGCUGCUGGUCCCGCAAUCUGCUCGCUUCUACAAACAAAACAUCCAAAUAAAAAAGUGACAACAGGAGCUGAAACCGGCUUAGAACGUGAACGAUGAACUCUACGGUUGAUGCCCACUGACAGAAGCUACAGCAUGAUGUAAAA